AUGAUGUGAAAGUCAUGGUGGAUUCAAUCUCUUCUUCUAUUUGUUUGAAAAGGUAACUUUAUAAAGCAUUCCCAAAUCUUAGUUAGAUAAUGGCAUUGGGAUACAGAGUUUUGAAGAUGAGUGCUGACAUACAGACCAAGCCAAGGACAGGCUCUCUCUGAAGGAAGGAUGUUGAUUGUGAGAGGUGCACUGUUUUUGGUGGCAAGUUUAGGGGCCAUUCUAUUAUGGUUGCAUUUGAAGAAGCCCUAUGUUUGGAUUCUUUCUGCCCAAUAUCUUAACAAGU
rnacentral:misc_RNA from 1 species